AGUGGUCCAGGAUUUUGUGGUCCUCCAUUUCUUGCGGGGGUUGCCUUUCUAGCGUUUUCUUUGUAUUACCACGUAUCACGUGAAAGCUUUUAGGAGGAUUUGUAACAAUGGAAAACGGUACAGUAAAAUGGUUCAACGCAGAAAAAGGCUAUGGUUUCAUUCAAGUUGAAGGUGGAAAUGAUGUAUUCGUACACUAUUCUGCAAUCAACGAAGAAGGUUUCAAAACACUUGAAGAAGGUCAAAGCGUAACUUUCGAAAUCGUUGAAGGCGACCGCGGACCUCAAGCAGCUAACGUAACUAAAAACUAAUAAAAUUACCUAUAAAGACAGCGGUCAUCCUACUGGAUACCGCUGUUUU
rnacentral:sRNA from 1 species